AGGUCAUUUCAGAGAGAGCUUAGGGGACCAAUGUCAGGAACUCUUAACGCUAUGACCUAAGAUUGAAGUUCUCCAUAGGAUGUAAUAGACACUUGAUAGUGCUAUGAUUUUCUGAGAAGAUAUAAGA